rnacentral:rRNA from 1 species
UACGUAGGGUGCGAGCGUUGUCCGGAAUUAUUGGGCGUAAAGGGCUCGUAGGCGGUUUGUCGCGUCGGGAGUGAAAACCCAGGGCUUAACCCUGGGCUGGCUUCCGAUACGGGCAGACUAGAGGUAUGCAGGGGAGAACGGAAUUCCUGGUGUAGCGGUGAAAUGCGCAGAUAUCAGGAGGAACACCGGUGGCGAAGGCGGUUCUCUGGGCAUGACCUGACGCUGAGGAGCGAAAGUGUGGGGAGCGAACAGG